rnacentral:rRNA from 1 species
GACGAACGCUGGCGGCGUGCUUAGCACAUGCAAGUCGAGCGGUAAGGCCUUUCGGGGUACACGAGCGGCGAACGGGUGAGUAACACGUGGGUGAUCUGCCCUGCACUUCGGGAUAAGCCUGGGAAACUGGGUCUAAUACCGGAUAUGACCUCCUAUCGCAUGGUGGGUGGUGGAAAGAUUUAUCGGUGCAGGAUGGGCCCGCGGCCUAUCAGCUUGUUGGUGGGGUAAUGGCCUACCAAGGCGACGACGGGUAGCCGACCUGAGAGGGUGACCGGCCACACUGGGACUGAGACACGGCCCAGACUCCUACGGGAGGCAGCAGUGGGGAAUAUUGCACAAUGGGCGAAAGCCUGAUGCAGCGACGCCGCGUGAGGGAUGACGGCCUUCGGGUUGUAAACCUCUUUCAGCAGGGACGAAGCGCAAGUGACGGUACCUGCAGAAGAAGCACCGGCUAACUACGUG